rnacentral:rRNA from 1 species
AGCAGUCGCCGCGGGAAUACGGAGGGGGCUAGCGUUGUUCGGAAUUACUGGGCGUAAAGCGCACGUAGGCGGCUUUGUAAGUCAGAGGUGAAAGCCCGGGGCUCAACCCCGGAAUUGCCUUUGAGACUGCAUCGCUUGAAUCCAGGAGAGGUGAGUGGAAUUCCGAGUGUAGAGGUGAAAUUCGUAGAUAUUCGGAAGAACACCAGUGGCGAAGGCGGCUCACUGGACUGGUAUUGACGCUGAGGUGCGAAAGCGUGGGGAGCAAACAGGAUUAGAUACCCCCGUAGUCCCUGUCUCUUAUAC